UUACGGCCAUAUCAUGUUUAAACACCGGAUCCUGUCCGAUCACCAAAUUUAAUCGAGCAUCGAAGCUAACGUCAUGCCUGGUCAGUACCUCGAUGGGUGACCGUAUGGGAUUACCAGGUGAUGUAAU